rnacentral:lncRNA from 1 species
GCAGAUGCUUAAAAAGUGCCGGCCUAGGGGGACUUGCUCUUUCUCUUGCUCCUGUCAGAGCCCAGUGACCACAUGCACAAGCUCAGGUUGGCCUAUUGGCUUGGUCCGGAUUGCUGCCUUAGACUCUCCAAUGAAUUUAUUCAAACAGCUGCCUUUGUGCUGCUGUGUUUUGCUUAUCUGGGAGCGAGAGUUUCUGUGUCUGUUCCCAGGCAUCUUCUUGCAGCUGCAGGCAUCCCCGCCACGUCUGCUUCUAGCUUCCCUGUAGUCUUUGUGCUGCUCUGCGGAAAUGGGUCGGUGUAACGGAAGUGCUAUGCAGGUCUGUGUGUGUGAUUGUCAGGGAGAGUUGGCCUGGCACAUAAACCAGCUGGCACCCCCUCUGGCAUCAUCUGGACUCCUGGAUCCACAUGACAGUUAAUUUUAGGUAUCAGGAUGCCCAGAGAGUAAAACAUUAUCGCUGGGUGUGCCUGUAAGGCUAUUUCCAGAGGAGAUUAGCAUUUGAAUGAGUACACUGAGGGAUGAAGAUCUGCCCUCACUAAUGUAGGUGGGCACCGUCCAAUCCACUGAGAGCCUGGACAGAACAAAAUGUGAAGGAAGGGUGAUGAAUUUGCCAUCCUCCUUGGGAGCUGGGACAUUCAUCUUCUCCUGCCAUCAGACAUCAGAGCUCCAGGUUCUCAGAUCUUCGGACUCUGAGCCUUACACCACUGGCUCCUCUGGGUCUCCAGCUUGUUGACGCCAUAUUUUGGAACUUCUAAGCCUCCGUAAUCAUAUGAGCCAAUGAUUUGGUUUGGACCUGUGUCUCUGCCCAAAUCUGAUGUUAAACUGUAAUCCCCAGUGUUGGAGGUGGGAGCUGGUGGGAGGUGACUGGAUUAUGGGGGUGGAGUUCUCAUGAAUGGUUUAGCACCAUCUCCCCUUGAUACUGCAGAGUGAGUUCUUGUGAGAUCUGGUUGUUUAAAAAGUGUGCAGGAGGCUGGCAGGUGAAUUGCUUGAGGUCAGAAGUUCAAGACCAGCCUGGCCAACAUGGUGAAACCUUGUCUCCACUAAAAUACAAAAGUGAGCUGGGCUUGGUGGUGGGCACCUGUAAUCCCAGCUACUAGAGAGGCUGAGGCAGGAGAAUUGCUUGAACCCAGGUGGUGGAGGUUGCAGUGAGCAAAGAUCAUGACACUGCACUCCAGCCUGGGUGACAGAGCAAGACUCUGUAUCAAAAAAAAAAAAAAAAAUUAUGAAGGACCUCCCCCUUCUCUCUCUUGCUCCUGCUCCAGCCAUGAUUGUAAGUUUCCUGAGGCUUCCCCAGAAGCGGAAGUUGCAAUGCUUCCUGUACAGGCUGCAGAAGUGUGAGCCAAUUAAACCUCUUUUCUUCGUAAAUUACCCAGUCUCAGGUGUUUCUUUAUAGCAGUGUGAGACCAGACUAAUGCAGUCAAUUCCCCUAAUAAAUCCCCUCUUCUUUAUCUACACAUAUACCCUACUGGUUCUGUUUCCAUGGAGAACCCUGACUAACACGGUCCAGUUGUACCUAAUGUUAGCUUCCCCUGGACUCUUACGGGCCAUUAUAUGCUAUUUAUUUUGAAUUUGUAUUUGUAUUUUUAGAGUCAGGGUCUCACUCUUUCACCCAGGCUGGGGUGUAGUGGCACAAUCAUAGCUCACUGUAACCUCCAAUACCUGGGCUUAUGUGAUCCUCCUACCUCAGCCUCCCGAGUGGCUAGGACUAUAGAUGUGCGCUUACCACACCUACCUAACUUUUAUAUUUUUUGUAGAUAUGAGAUCUCUGUGUUGCCCAGGCUGGUCUCAAACUCCUGGCCUCAAGUGAUUUUCCUGCCUUGGCCUCCCAAAGUGCUGGGAUUGUAGGUAUGAGCCACCGCAGCCAGCCCAUUCUACUUAUUUUUGCAUAAACUAUUUUGAAUGGGGUGUCUGUCACUUGCAACCCAAAAUGUCCUUAU